CUUGAUUGCAGGGCGGUCGUGGCCAUGGAAACUAGCAGUGUAUAAUGUGAUAGAAAAAUGAAUCCAGCCAGCAAAGGAAGCAAUAUGGACAAUCACAAUACAUUACUUAAGGCCUCUUUCACACUUG